rnacentral:tRNA from 1 species
GGGCCGCUAGCUCAGCUGGCAGAGCAGUGGACUCUUAAUCCAAAGGUCCGGGGUUCGAACCCCCGGCGGCCCACCA